CGCGUGACAACCCGAGGGGGCAUCCCCUUGGGUUCAAAGGAGAGAUCCGGUACCGGCUGGGCAUGCGGCGCAUUAGCUAGUUGGCGGGGCAACGGCCCACCAAGGCGACGAUGCGUAGGGGUUCCGAGAGGAAGGUCCCCCACACUGGAACUGAGACACGGUCCAGACUCCUACGGGAGGCAGCAGUGAGGAAUAUUGGUCAAUGGGCGCAAGCCUGAACCAGCCAAGUCGCGUGAGGGAAGACGGCCCUACGGGUUGUAAACCUCUUUUGCCGGGGAGCAAGCCUGAGCACGUGUGCCCAGGCGGAGAGUACCCGGAGAAAAAGCAUCGGCUAACUCCGUGCCAGCAGCCGCGGUAAUACGGAGGAUGCGAGCGUUAUCCGGAUUUAUUGGGUUUAAAGGGUGCGCAGGCGGGCUGUUAAGCCGGCGGUAAAAAUUCAGGGCUCAACCCUGUCGAGCCGUCGGAACUGGCAGUCUUGAGUGGGCGAGAAGUAUGCGGAAUGCGUGGUGUAGCGGUGAAAUGCAUAGAUAUCACGCAGAACGCCGAUUGCGAAGGCAGCAUACCGGCGCCCAACUGACGCUGAGGCACGAAAGCGUGGGGAUCGAACAGGAUUAGAUACCCUGGUAGUCCACGCAGUAAACGAUGAGCGCUAACUGUCCGGAGCGAGCGAGCUCUGGGUGGUACAGUGAAAACGUUAAGCGCUCCACCUGGGGAGUACGCCGGCAACGGUGAAACUCAAAGGAAUUGACGGGGGCCCGCACAAGCGGAGGAACAUGUGGUUUAAUUCGAUGAUACGCGAGGAACCUUACCCGGGCUCAAACGUAAGCGGAAUAACGGUGAAAGCCGUUAGCUAUUUAUAGCCGCUUACGAGGUGCUGCAUGGUUGUCGUCAGCUCGUGCCGUGAGGUGUCGGCUUAAGUGCCAUAACGAGCGCAACCCCCAUCGCCAGUUGCUAACAAGUAACGUUGAGGACUCUGGCGAGACUGCCGGCGCAAGCUGCGAGGAAGGCGGGGAUGACGUCAAAUCAGCACGGCCCUUACGUCCGGGGCGACACACGUGUUACAAUGGCAGGUACAGAGAGAAGCCAUCCCGCGAGGGAGAGCGGAACUUUAAAGCCUGUCUCAGUUCGGAUUGGAGUCUGCAACCCGACUCCAUGAAGCUGGAUUCGAUAGUAAUCGCGCAUCAGCCACGGCGCGGUG
rnacentral:rRNA from 1 species